rnacentral:misc_RNA from 1 species
UGGUCGGCUCCUCUCAAAUGAAUCAGCUUGCCGGUGUUUGGUGGGCAUCACAGGUGUGAUAACUAUCUACGCUUGUGGUUUUCCACCAGGGUAACCUUCAGCAGUGGAGGUUCACUGGAGCUCAUAAAUGUCUCUCCUCAGUGGGGACAGCCCUUUGAAUGUUUGAUCUCAAAUCAGGUAGGACUACCCGCUGAACUUAA